rnacentral:rRNA from 1 species
GACGAACGCUGGCGGCGUGCCUAAUACAUGCAAGUUGAGCGCUGAAGGUUGGUACUUGUACCAACUGGAUGAGCAGCGAACGGGUGAGUAACGCGUGGGGAAUCUGCCUUUGAGCGGGGGACAACAUUUGGAAACGAAUGCUAAUACCGCAUAAAAACUUUAAACACAAGUUUUAAGUUUGAAAGAUGCAAUUGCAUCACUCAAAGAUGAUCCCGCGUUGUAUUAGCUAGUUGGUGAGGUAAAGGCUCACCAAGGCGAUGAUACAUAGCCGACCUGAGAGGGUGAUCGGCCACAGUGGGACUGAGACACGGCCCAAACUCCUACGGGAGGCAGCAGUAGGGAAUCUUCGGCAAUGGACGAAAGUCUGACCGAGCAGCGCCGCGUGAGGGAAGAAGGUUUUCGGAUCGUAAAACUCUGUUGGUAGAGAAGAACGUUGGUGAGAGUGGAAAGCUCAUCAAGUGACGGUAACUACCCAGAAAGGGACGGCUAACUACGUG